GGGGAUGACAGGGUUCGAUAGUUGGACCUAGUUACCCUUCAUAAGCAUGUCGAGGAGCUACGCUUUCCUCGUAAAUACCGGCGUAGAAUCCCUAAGUGUAAACUUAGUAAGUCGAGUGAGAACUGCUGUAGCUUCUGCUUUCAGUAUGCCAUCAUUCGCAUCUGUAGUAGCUUAAUAAGCUCAUCUACCAUCGCAUCUCGAGAUACUCAAUAUUGAGAUCUGCGGUGUCAACCCCCAUUGAGCGUAAAUUGAAAUGGCUUUCUGACAGUUUCAAUUGACAACAAUUCAGAAUAGUUGGUAGUGGUUUUGCUAAUUUUCUAGCUACCAACAAAAUACCAAAUUAGCUAUACAUGUAGAAUAUGGGGAUAACCCAUCUAGACCCGGGUUCAAUUCCCGGCAUCUCCACAA
rfam:Candidatus Magasanikbacteria bacterium CG1_02_32_51 cg1_0.2_scaffold_559_c, whole genome shotgun sequence.